AACACAACCAGAAUUCUUUAUUAAAAUACUUGAAAAGCAGCCUGACUUAGUGGUUAAAGGGCUGGCAUGAGGACGAUCUCAUUUCAAAAAACUGCCUCUGAUGCCCGUUGUUUGUGUGGCCUCCUGUUGGUGGUGGCAGGCUCAGAAUUGGACAUGGAUGUGGUUGGUGCUUCUAGGGGGAGAGGUCAGCUCGCAGCCUGUCACCCCACCCCAGCCACAGGAGGGACCCAGAACUUCCUGUUGGACACAGGAAAGAGACUCCUCAACCUAGAAGAGGGACCAGGAGAGCUUCCAAAACUGCAGAUCUUCAAGAAGGGAAGAGGGACAGGCCUGCACUUGGAAAACCCUGACUUUGAACCCACUCCCCAGACAGGGGGCACCCCUGGCCCUCCCCCCUGGUCUGUGCAGUCCAGCAAGCUGCCUCCCAGCCCAGCUUGGAAUAUAGAGGAGCCCUGGAUUCUAGUGGCAGCUCUGCUCUAACUGUCACUGGGCUCUCUGGGCCUCAGUGUCCUCCUGUGGAAGACACUGGGGAAGCCUGUGGACCCCCUCUCCAGAUGGCUUUCAGGCUGCUGAGAAAAUGCAACGGGUAGCAGCACAUAAACAUGUAACUCCUUGGGUGGACUCUGGACAGGCCGCCGUCCAGCUAAGAUUCUGGGAGAGGCCGAGGGUCACUUGGCCUGGUGGCCAUGCAGGGAGCAGGGCCCAGAGUGGGGAAGUCACAGGGAGCUUUGCUCCAUUCUGUGGUCCUGCAGGGAGCCCUGCCCUCUCUCCCCUGCCGCCCCACACAACUUCCAAAAUGCACAAAAAUGAUCCUGAAGGGGGUCAGAGGAGAGUGCGAGGGGUCCAGAAAACAGUCUUUUGGGGAAAUGCCCUGGAAGCCAUGCUCCACUGAAAGGGAGAAUGAGGGACAUGAUCUUGGUCUCUGCAAAGGGGCCAAAGGCUUGUACACGGGAAGGAAGUCUGGAGAGGCAGAAAGAGCAUGGCACUGGGAGUUUCAGGCCUGGAGAGGAAGUGAGGGUUUGGAGAUUGUGUGACCUUGGGACAGUGUUUUCAUUUGCCAGACUGAGAGGCAUUGUGGGGAAAGGGCUGGUCUUGAAGGCAGGUCCAGAAGACCUCCCUUCAAGUGCUGCCUCUGUCAGUGACCCUGCCAAGUCAUGUGACCACCCAGCUCCCAGGCUACUCAGACUAUAGAUUACAGGCUAAUUGCACAUCUAGCAGCAAAGGCUGAAGAGAUGAGGAAGAUGACUUCUGGCCUAAUGCAGCCCAAUCUAAACCUUAAGAGACAUGAUUUUGGGGGUGCUUGUGGGGGUCUGGGCACAACUCAGGCUUGGGGGGGGCUCAGAGAUUUUCUACAAGGUCCCUUCUAAGGCCAUCCGGGCCAACCCCCUCAUUUUACAGGUGAAACCGAGAACCAGGAAAGGGAAAAGUCUCCAUUUUCCUGGGUCAAAUGGCGGAGACACAAUUUCAGUCUAGGCUCAGUGACCCCCAGACAAACUAGCUGUUGCCAAGGAUGCCAUCACCCAUUCCAAGGUCUGUGAAAUAAUUGCACCAACUGUUACAUCAGAAGUGUGAGCUAAGAAGAGGGGCAACUGUUACCGAGGAGGUGGGGGGAAGAAAAAUGAAAGAAGGUGAAAGUAAAGAGAAAAACAGGAAUUGUGGUAUGUGGAGGGGAAGAAAGUAGAGAAGAGGGGAAGAGGAGAGAAGGAAAGAAAAUGAAACUGGAGCCCUGAAAACUUGAGUGACUUGCCCAGGAUCAUAUUGAGUAGGAGAAUACAAGAGAGGUGAACAUUUUGAAGAGGCUGAAAAGGAGGAUGGUGGCCUGGAAUAUCUGAUCAGGUCACAGGGACACUGAGUGACAGUCAUUAUUUGAACACAGGUUCAUUGACUCCUAAGGUAGCAAGCUGUUGCCAAGGAUGACAUCACUGUUCCCAAGAGUGUGAGAAGAAUGAAGUCACUAGCAUGGCUUAGAGGUGAUCAUUAGGGAGGUGGUGGCCUUGAGGAACAGACCAGGAUAUGAGAAGAAUGAAGUCACCAGAAUGGCUUAGUGGUAUCCAUAAGGGAGGGUGGUGAGCUUCAGGACCCGGCCCGUUAAGGAGAAUGAAGGCUCACCAUACAGAGCCCAGGAUGAUAGGAUGGCAAUAGUGGGCAAGAUUGGGUUUUUAAAGACCUCACAUCAAACCCAGCUUCUCAUACUUGGGGUUGCCCCUGUUCUUCACUUGCUUUUACUCUAUACACUCUUGUUCUGGUUCAUUUGGAUUGUGGAACAAGCGGAAUCCCCUGCCAGGUUAGAAUAUUCAGGAGAUCUGGAUUCUAGUGUCAGCUUUGCUGCUAACUGUCAGGCACUUUCCUGUGUCUUAGUGUAGGGCAUUAGAAUGGUUGGGAUCUUUGACAGAUUCAAUUCUUCUGAAAGUCAGAAUUCUGGAUGGAUUUAAGGGUGCAUAAGGACAGCAAGAGCAUUCGAAGAUAAUGAAGCCAAGGUCAGAAAGUCUCAGGGACCACUUGCCUUUUCUCUUUCCUUGGUCAAAUUCCUAACUUUGAUCAUCACCCCUUUUCUCCUUGAUCCUAAAGGAAGCCAGUGGAGAGGGUGAGAAAGAUCAGAGGAAAAGCCUAGGAGAAAAUCAACUCCAAAGGCAAGCUCUUCAGCAAGGGCAUUAAAGAAAUAAUCUUGGUCUUUCUAGGGGUGCAUAAUUGCUUGUUUAUAGGGAAGGGGACCAUGGUAAAGUGGGAAGAAUUGGAGCUCACUGGACCUAUGCUCAAUUCCCAAGGUUGCCUCUAAAGCACUUGUGUGAUGUUGGACAAGAUGCUCCCCCUUCCUUGGCUUCUUUUUCUCCAUUUAUAAAAUCAGUUAGAGAGAAGGGUGGUAGCAUACUGGAUAAAGGAAGAAAUUUAGAAUCAAUAAUGUAAGAUGUGGAUUCAAAUUCUGCCUUUGAUAGCUGCUGGUUUUAUAACUUUGAACAAAAUGAUUAACCUUUGAGUCAUUUGAGUCAAAUGACUCUCCAAUUUUAAAUGACUAAAAUAUUGUAUAAGUGUAGAGUCUGAGGGAUAAACUCUGGUCUGGCUUCUCCUUUGCUUUCCCAUGAAGACUUGGGAGUGGGGAGAAUUAGAUUCUAGGAUCAUCUGUUUAGGAAGGGCCCUCGGAAGCCAUCUAGUCCAAUGCUCUCAUUUGAGAAAAUGAAGCUGAAGACCAGGAAAGUUCAAUCAUUUGUCUAGGAUCUUCCAGGUAAUGGGAAUCAGAGCUGAUAAUUAGACCCAGGACCUCUGUCUCCCAAGGCUCUGUUCAUUCUUUUCUUUUCUUUUUAUUGUCAUACAAAACAUACUUCCAUGUUGGUUGUUAUUGUAAGAGCAAAGUCAUACAUAACCAAAACCCCCAAAUAAAACCAUAAAUAUGCUGAUGUGAAAGACAACUCCAACAGGUCUUUCUCUGGAGGUGAAUAGCAUUCCCCAUCAUAAGUCCUUCAGUAUUACCCCAGAUUGUUGCACUGCUGAGAAUAGUCAAGAUUUCACAGAUAAUUAUCAUACAAUAUUGCUGAAGUUGUGUACAAUGUUCUCUCAGUUCUGCUUAUUUUGCUCUGCACCAGUUCUUGCAGAUCUUUCCAGCUUUUUCUAAAAUCAUCCUGCUUAUCAUUCCUUAUAGCAAAAUUGUACUCCAUCACCAUCAUAUACCACAUUUGGUCCAGCCAUUCCCCAAGUGAGGGACAUCCCCUUAAUUUCAAAUUCUUUGCCACCACAAAAAAGCAGCUAUAAAUAUUUUUGUACAAACAGGUCCUUUCCCAUUUUUUAUCUCUUUGGGAUACAGACCUAGUGGUGGUAUUAUUGGAUCAAAAUGUAUGCAUUCUCUUAUAGCCUCUGGGCAUAUUAUUACCCUCCAGAAAGGUUGGAUCACUUCACUACUACCAACAAUGCAUUAGCAUUUUGCCACUUUCCCUCUAAUGUUAAUAAUUUUCCUCUAUUGUCACACUGGCCAAUCUGAGAGCUGUGAGGUAAUACCUCAGCGUUGUUUUGAUUUGCAUUUCUCAAAUCAAGAAAGAUUUAGAACAUUUUUUCAUAUGAUUAUUAUUAGUUUUGAUUUCUUCAUUUGAAAAACUGCCUAUUCAUAUCCUUUGACCAUUUAUCAAUUGAGGAAUGACUUGAAUUCAUAUAAAUUUGACUUCAUUCUUUUUAUAUUUGAGAAAUGAGACCUUUAUCAGAGAAAUUUUUUCCCAGGUGUUUCCCUUCUAAUCUUGGUUACAUUAUUUUUUUCUGUACAAACCUUUUAAAUUUAAUAUAAUCAAAAUUAUCCAUAUUACAUCUUAUAAUGUUCUCUAUCUCUUUUUUAGUCAUAAAUUCUUCCCUUCUCUAUAGAUAUGAUAGGUAAACUUUUUUAUAGUCUCCUAAUUUACUUAUAUCACUAUAUUUAAAUCAUAUAUGCAUUUUGACCUUAUCUGGGCAUAGAUUGUGAUAUAGUGAUCUAAACCUAGUUUUUGCCAUACUGUUUUUCAAUUUUCCCAACAGUUUUUCUCAAAUAAUGAGUUUUCAUUCCCAAAGGUAGGAUCUUUGGGUUUAUUAAACACUAGAUUGCUGAGAUCACUUACCCCAAGUCUAUUUCACUGAUCCUUCCCCUCUUUCUCUUAGCCAGUGCCAUAUUGUUUUGAUGAUCCCUGCUUUAUAGGACAGUUUAAGACCUGGUACUGCUAGACCCUCCUCCUUCACAUUUUUCAUUAGUUUCUUUGAUAUUAUUGAUCUUUUGUUCUUCCAGAUGGAUUUUGUUAUUAUUUUUUCUAGUUCUAUUAAAAUAGUUUUUUGGUAGUUUGAUUGGCAUGACACUGAAUAAGUAAACUAAUUUAGGUAGGAUGAUCUUUUUUAUUUUAUUAUCUCAGCCUGUCCUUGAGCAAUUAAUAUUUUCCUAUUUGUUUAGAUGUUAAUUUCUGUGAAAAGUAUUUUUAAUUGUGCUCUUAUAAUUCCUAUGUUUGUCUUGGCAAAUAGAUUCCCUGGUAUUUUGUGUUGCCUAGUGUGAUUUAAAAUAUUUUCUCUUUCUAACUCUUGCUGCUGAGUUUUGUUGGAAAUAUAUAGAAAUGCUGAUGGCUUAUGUGUAUUUAUUUUAUAUUCUGCAACUUUGCUAACAUUAUUAUUUCAACUUGUUUUUAGUAUAUUUUCUAGAAUUCGCUAAGUAUACCAUCAUAUCAUCUGCAAAGAUUGAUAGUUUAGUUUCCUUGUUGCCUACUUUGAUCCCUUCAAUUUCUUUUUCUUCUUUAAUUGGUAAAGCUAGCAUUUCUAGUACAAUAUAACAUUAAAUAAUAGUGGUGAUCAUGGGCAUCCUUACUUCAUUCAUGAUCUUAUUGGGAAGGCUUCUAAUUUAUCUACAAUUGCAAAUGAUACUUGCUAUUGGUUUUAAAUAAAUACUACUUAUUAUUUUAAGGAAAAGUCCUUUUAUUCCUAUGCUUUCUAAUGUUUUGAAUCUGAAUGGGUGAUGUAUUUUGUGAAAGGCUUAUUUUCUGCAUCUUACUGAGAAGAUCAUGUGAUUUCUGUCAGUUUGAUUAUUUUUUUUACACUCCUACUGUAUUUUAUUUUACAAAGUCAACAACAUGCAGCUCCUUGCCCAUUAGCAUAGAGAAAAACAAAUUCCAGGCAGUCACCUGCCUGCCCUUGGAAACAUUUGCCAGGCCCCUUGAUGCGGAGCCUUUGGAGACGGGAUUCUUAGCUGAAAUACUAUCAUUAGGUUUAUUCAUUUUUUAAAUUUUAUUUAGUCAAUUUAGAAUAUCUUUCAUUCUUUCCAAGAAUCAUGUUCUUUCCCUACCCUCCCCCCACACCCGCCCAUAGCUGACUUGAAAUUCCCCUGGGUUUUACAUGUGUCCUUGAUCAAAACCUAUUUCCAUAUUGUUGAUGUUUGCAUUAGGAUGUUCAUUUAGAAUCUACAUCCCCAAUCAUAUCCCCAUUGAUCCAUAUGAUCAAGCAGUUGUUUUUCUUCUGUGUUUCUACUCCCAUAAUUUUUCCUCUGGAUGUGGAUAGUGUUCUUUCUCAUAGAUCCCUCGGGGUUGUUCAGGAUCACUGCAUUGCCUCUAAUGGAGAAGUCCAUUACAUUCAAUUGUGCCACAGUGUGUCAGUCUGUGUACAAUGUUCUCCUGGUUCUACUCCUCUCACUCUGCAUCACUUCCUGGAGGUCGUUCCAGUCCCCAUGGAAUUCCUCAACUUUAUUAUUCCUUUUAGAGCAAUAGUAUUCCAUCACCAACGUAAACCACGAUUUGUUCAGCCAUUCCCCAAUUGAAGGGCAUCCCUUCAUUUUCUAAUUUUUUGCGACCACAAAGAACAAAGCUAUGAAUAUUCUUAUGCAAGUCUUUUUUCCUUAUUAUCUCUUUGCAGUAAAAACCCAGCAGUGCUAUGGCUGGAUCAAAGGGCAGACAGUCUAUUAGCACCCAUUGAGCAUAGUUCCAAAUUCCCCUCCAGAAUGGUUGGAUUGAUUAACAACUACCAGCAAUGCAUUAUUGUCCCGACUUUGACACAUCCCCUCCAACAUUAAUUACUUUCCAUUACUGUCAUGUUAGCCAAUUUGCUAGGUGUGAGGUGAUACAUCAGAGUUGAUUUGAUUUGCAUCUCUCUGAUUAUAAGGGAUUUAAAACACUUUUUAAUGUGCUUAUUAAUAGUUUUGAUUUCGUUGACUGAAAAUUGCCUAUUCAUGCCCUUGCUCAUUUAUCAUUUGGAGAAUGGCUUGAUUUUUUGUACAAUUGGUUUAGCUCUUAAUAAAUUUGAGUAAUUAGACCUUUGUCAGAGGUUUUCGUUAUGAAGAUUGUUUCCCAGUUUGUUACUUCCCUUCUAAUUUUUGUUGCAUUGUUUUUUUUGUGCAAAAAAUUUUAAUUUGAUGUAAUCAAAAUUAUUUAUUUCAUAUUUUGGGAUUUUUUCUAGUCUUUGCUUGGUUUUAAAGUCUUUCCUUUCCCAAAGAUCUGACAUGUAUACUAUUCUAUGUUCACCUAAUUUACUUAUAGUAUCCUUCUUUAUAUUCAAGUCAUUCACCCAUUAUAAGUUUAUCUUGGUGUAGGGUAUCAGAUGUUGAACCAAACCUAAUCUCUCCCAUAUGGUCUUCCAAUUUUCCCAGCAGUUUUUGUCAAAUAGUGGAUUUUUGUCUCAAAAGCUGGGAUCUUUGGGCUUAUCAUAGACUGUCUUGCUAAGGUCACUUACCCCAAGUCUAUUCCAGUGGUCUUCCUCUCUGUCUCUUAGCCAAUUCCAAAUUGUUUUGAUGACCACUGCUUUAUAGUAUAUAUAGUAUAGUUUGAGAUCUGGGACUGGAAGGCCUCCUUCCUUUGCAUUUUUUUCAUGAUUUCCCUGGAUAUCCUUGAUCUUUUGUUCUUCCAAAUGAACUUUGUUAUGGUUUUUUCUAAUUCAGUAAAAAAGCUUUUUGGUAGUUCAAUGGGCAUGACACUAAAUAAGUGAAUUAAUUUGGGUAGGAUUGUCAUUUUUAUUAUGUUAGCUCAUCCUACCCAUGAGCAAUCAAUGUUUUUCCAAUUGUGUAGAACUAGUUUUAAUUGUGUGGAGAGUUUUUUGUAGAUGUGUUCAUAUACUUCCUGUGUUUGUCUCGGCAGAUAGAUUCCUAAGUAUUUUAUAUUGUCUAGAGUGAUUUUAAAUGGAAUUUCUCUUUGUAAUUCCUACUGCUGAGAUUUGUUGGAGAUAUAUAGAAAUGUUGAUGACUUAUCUGGGUUUAUUUUUUAUCCUGUAACUUUGCUUAAGUUGUCGAUUAUUUUGAUUAGCUUUUUGGUUGAUUCUCUAGGAUUCUUUCAGUAGACCAUUAUAUCAUCUGCAAAGAGUGAUAGCUUGGUCUCCCCCUUGCCUAUUUUAAUAACUUCAAUUUCUUUUUCUUCUCUAAUUGCUACUGCUAGUGUUUCUAGUACAAUGUUGAAUAGUAGAGGUGAUAAUCGGCAUCCUUGUUUCACUCCUGAUCAUAUUGGGAAGGCUUCUAGUUCAUUCCCAUUGCAGAUGAUGUUUGUUGAUGGUUUUAGAUUAAAGAGACUGGUCUUUAGUUUGCUUUCUCUGUUUUUGACCUGCCUGGCUUUGGAAUCAGUACCAUAUUUGUUUCAUAAAAAGAAUUUUGUAGAACGUUUUCUUUGCUUUUUCUGUCAAAUAGUUUGUAUAAUAUUGGGAUUAGUUGUCAUUUGAAUGCUUGGUAGAAUUCAUUUGUGACUCCAUCUGGUCCUGAGGCUUUUUUCUUAGGGAGUUCUUUAAUAGCUUGUAUAACUUCUUUUUCUGAUAUGGGGUUGUUUAGGUAUUCUAAUUCUUUCUCUGUUAAUCUAGGAAAUUUAUACUUUUGUAAAUUUUUAUCCAUACCACCUAGAUUGCCAUAUUUAUUGCCAUAUAAUUGGGCAUAAUACUUUUAAAUGAUUGCCUUAAUUUCCUCUUCAUUAGAGGUGAGGUCUCCCUUUUCAUCUUGGAUACUGUCAAUUUGGUUUUCUUCUUCUUUCCUUUUAUUAGAUUGACAUGUACUUUGUCUAUUUUAUUUGUUUUUUUUAGAAGUAACAGCUUCUAGUCUUAUUGAUUAAUUUGAUAGUUCUUUCACUUUCAAUUUUAAUAAUUUCUCCUUCAAUUUUUAGGAUCACUAUUUCAGUUUUCAUCUGAGGAUUUUUAAUUUCUUCACUUUCUAGUUGUUUAAUUUGCAUGCCCAAUUCACUGAUCUCUGCCCUCCUUAAUUUGUUAAUAUAUGAACUCAAGGAUAUAAAUUUCCCCCUGAGUACUGCUUUGGCUGCAUCCCAUAGAUUUUGAAAGGAUGUCUCCUCAUUGUCAUUUUCAUCAAUGAAAUUAUUAAUUGUUUCUAUGAUUUGUUCUUUAACCAAUUUUGGAGAAUCACAAUGUUUAAUUUCCAAUUUUUCAUUUGCCUCUCCAUGUACCCUCACUAAUUAUUAUUUUUAUUGCAUUAUGAUCUAAAAAGUUUGGAUCUAUUAUUUCUGCUCUUUUGCACUUGUUUUCAAUGUUUUUAUGCCCUAGUGCAUGGUCCAUCUUUGUGAAUGUACCAUGUUCUGCUCAAAAGAAGGUAUAUAUACCAUGUUCUGCUGAAAAGAAGGUGUAUUCCUUUUUGUCCCUAUUUAUUUUUCUCCACAUAUCUACUGACUAAUUUUUCUAAGAUUUCAUUAAGAUCUCUUACCUCUUUCUUAUUAAUUAAUUUUUUGUUUUGAUUUAUCUAGAUCUGGGAGAGGAAGGAUCAGGUCUCACACUAGUAUAGUUUUACUAUGUAUUUCCUCCUUCAGGUUCAAUAGUUUGUUUGUUGGUUUGUUUUUUAACUUGGAUAUUAUUCCAUUUGGUGCAUACAUGUUGAGUACUGAUAUUUCCUCAUUGUCUAUACUGCCUUUUAUCAGGAUGUAAUUACCUUCCCUAUCUUUUAACCAAAUCUAUUUUUACUUUGACUUUGUCAGAUAUCAUGACUGUGACUCCUGCCUUCUUUUUCUCAGUUGAUGCCCAAUAGAUUUUGAUCCAUCCUUUAACAUUUACCCUGUGUGUGUUGACCUUCUUCAUGUGUGUUUCUCGUAGGCAACAUAUAGUAUGAUUUUG